rnacentral:lncRNA from 1 species
AAUCCCCCCAUGGCCCUUUAAAUCCCCCCCCCCAAAGUCUGCACUGUCCCUUUAAAUCCUCCCCCCCCCCAUAUAUCAGUCAUUGGGGGGGGGGUCAUUAUUAAGGUAGGUCCUCCAACCCCCCCAUUUUGGGACCCCCCCCCCCAAACCCCCCCAUAUCCCUUUAACCCCCCCAUUUUAUUACUCCCCCCCCCCCCCAAAUCCCCCCAUGGCCCUUUAAACCCCCCCAAAAUCUGCACUGUCCCUUUAAAUCCCCCUCCCCCCCCAUAUCAGUCAUUGGGGGGGGGUCAUUAUUAAGGUAGGUCCUCCAACCCCCCCAUUUUGGGACCCCCCCCCCAUAUACCCCCAUAUCCCUUUAAACCCCCCCAUUUUAUUACCCCCCCCCCAAAAAACUCCGCAGUGUCCCUUUAAAUGCCCCCCCCAUAUAUCAGACAAUGGGGGAGGGGCGUUAUUAUUGUCGGUCCUCCAACCCCCCCCAUAGGUCAGAUAUUGGGGUGUGGGGGGGUCGUUAUUAUUACAGACCCCCCCCCCAAUAAUAACGGCCCUUCCGUGACCCCCCCCCACCGCCCCCCCCCCAAAAAAAACCACCAAAACGACAAAAAACGACAAAAAAAACCCAAAACGGCGUCGGGGAAACGCAGUGGGAAAUAAAAGAGCCGCCGCUUCGCUGCGGGGUGCAGUGCCGCUCAGUCACCGCCAGGGGGCGCUGUGGGCAAUGCAGCCCUAUGGGGGCGCUGUGGGCGAUGCAGCCCUAUGGGGGCGCUGUGGGU